ACUGGUUGAUCCUGCCAGUAGUCAUAUGCUUGUCUUAAAGAUUAAGCCAUGCAUGUUUAAGUUCAUACCCUUGAAUGGUGAAACCGCGAAUGGCUCAUUAAAUCAGUUAUAAUUUUAUGGGAUGUGAUUUGUUAAUUGGAUAACUGUGGUAAUUCUAGAGCUAAUACAUGCAUCAUACGGCUGGGUUCGCCCCGGCUGUGCUUUUAUUAGUGCAAACCAGGCCUCCGGGCAGCAAAAUGGUGACUCUGAAUAACUUUGCCGAGCAUUGAAGCUUCAAGCUAGUGCUAUUCCUUCAAAGUAUCUGCUCUAUCAACUGUCGAUGGUAUAUUAUAUGUUUACCAUGGUUGUAACGGGUAACGGGGAAUUAGGGUUCGAUUCCGGAGAGGGAGCCUGAGAAAUGGCUACCACAUCUAAGGAAGGCAGCAGGCGCGCAAAUUACCCAAUCCCGGCACGGGGAGGUAGUGACAAAAAAUAACAAUGCGGGACUCAUAUGAGGCUUCGUAAUUGGAAUGAGUACAUUCUAAAUCCUUUAACGAGGAACUAUUGGAGGGCAAGUCUGGUGCCAGCAGCCGCGGUAAUUCCAGCUCCAAUAGCGUAUAUUAAAAUUGUUGCGUCUAAAAAGCUCGUAGUUUGAAAACUUGUCUUGGCUUUCAAUUGAUAUCUAAUGGUAUCGCCGUUAGUCAUGAACAAAUAUGAAUAACUGUUUUAGCCGUCUUCAUUGACUGGUUUAUAAGAGUUAUUAAUUAUCACUUUGAUUAAAUUAGAGUGCUUAAAGCAAGUGUGUUACUUGGAUAUAAAUGCAUGGAAUGAUGGAAUAUGUUGUUAUUCUAUUUGUUGGUUUUUGAAUGAUGAAAUGAUUGAAAGGAACUGUUGGGGGCAUUCGUAUUGUUGUGAGAGAGGUGAAAUUCUUAGACCACAGCAAGACGAACUACUGCGAAAGCAUUUGCCAAGAAUGUUUUCAUUGAUCAAGAACGAAAGUUAGAGGUUCGAAGGCGAUCAGAUACCGCCCUAGUUCUAAC
rnacentral:rRNA from 1 species